GAUGAACGCUGGCGGCGUGCCUAAUACAUGCAAGUCGAGCGAACGGACGAGAAGCUUGCUUCUCUGAUGUUAGCGGCGGACGGGUGAGUAACACGUGGAUAACCUACCUAUAAGACUGGGAUAACUUCUGGAAACCGUAGCUAAUACCGGAUAAUAUUUUGAACCGCAUGGUUCAAAAUUGAAAGACGGUCUUGCUGUCACUUAUAGAUGGAUCCGCGCUGCAUUAGCUAGUUGGUAAGGUAACGGCUUACCAAGGCAACGAUGCAUAGCCGACCUGAGAGGGUGAUCGGCCACACUGGAACUGAGACACGGUCCAGACUCCUACGGGAGGCAGCAGUAGGGAAUCUUCCGCAAUGGGCGAAAGCCUGACAGAGAAACGCCGCGUGAGUGAUGAAGGUCUUCGGAUCGUAAAACUCUGUUAUUAGGGAAGAACAUAUGUGUAAGUAACUGUGCACAUCUUGACGGUACCUAAUCAGAAAGCCACGGCUAACUACGUG
rnacentral:rRNA from 1 species